AUGGUGUUGGCAAAAGUGAAAAUAAAUUCACAUCUUCUAAGCUUUCCUCUGCAGUCAGCUCCUGGAAAUGACUUCGACACUGAUUGUUCGACACUGAUGCAGUUAAAAACUGCAAGGACAUAUACUGAAUGUGGAGCAGGAAUGCCUCUCAUACUGCUGCAGAGCACAUACUUGCAGACCACAAUUUCACAGGAAGUUAAUGUCAAAGUUGCAAAAGAUGUAAUGUUACUCUGCACCCACAGAUUAUUGGAGCCAUAUCCCUUGAGAAAACUUGCCAUCUUGGGUAAACCCCAACUAUCCUGGGCAUCCAUUAUUCUAAAAGCAACCCUUUGGCCCCUUUGUAUUUUUUUAUAAUUAAAUGAAUGUUAUCAAAAAGAAUCAAGGACAUGGGAAAGAGGGGAAAAAAGUUUAAAAUAAGCAUGAGAACUGUGGGAACAUGGUGGGAGAAGAGUAGUGAAGGCAGUAGCUCUUCCCUCCAGUAGAAUGAAGCCCUGUGCAAAGUUGUGCCAUGUACAUGAUGAUUUUCUUUGGAAAGUCGUUACCUGGCUUACGUGAAGGAUGACAGGAAAUGUGAAAAUAUGUCAUGGAUACUCUAAAAAUGACCAGAGUUUAGUGCUUACUGGGUCCAAGGACAACAGGGCACCAAGUUGAGCAAAUAUGCCUUAUAGUUGGCCGAAUUUGGGUGCUGGUUGUUAGAGGAAGCAAAAAAACAGAAAAACAUGAAAGCAUCCUAUCUUUGGUUCUAGAGAGAUCUAACCUGAAACAUCUGUGAAAGUGGCUGCAGCACAUGUAUGUGCACCCUAGAUAAGGAGUUCUCAUCACAAAAACAAAACAAAACAAAACAAAACAAAACCUUAUUUUUGCUCUUGCUUGAAAUGUUGAAAUGCAAGAGAAAUGGAAAGUAGAAUAUUUCAUAUGCUGAAAAGUUUUGAUCCAAUUGCUCUUGAAAUCAUUAGGAAUUUGUUGACUUUAUACUGAAUGCCUAAUGACAUUCUUCUUUUAGUAAAUGAGCUGCCUCGCUGAAUGCAUCUGAAGAGUUUGUGGUAAAGGGUAUUUAAUUUACAAAGCUGUUGGCUAAUGUGUCAACACCCACAGAGUUAGAACAAUCACAGCUCCAGGCAAACCACAGAUGAAAAGAUACCAUCAGUGUCAGCAAGAACUGUGUAUUCUGUUAAGUCAAGAGUGUAGGUUGUGCCCAUGUUUACCAUUCUCUUAUCUUCUGUUUUGUUUUGUUUUCUAAUUCUUUAAAUAUUCUGAAUUACAUUAAUAUCACUGGGGCGAUAUGAGAAGCCAAUCAGGACACUACUUCCCAGAAUACCAGUUUCCUGAUGUACAUCAGGCAGAAGGAGUCCAAAAUUGUGUGGGACAAAGGGAACAGGACAGGACACUACUGGAAGAAGACAAAUAGAGAAGAUAAAUAAGUCUGUGAGUAGCUAACACAGUGUUAUUAGUCUGCUUCAGUAAAAAGAAGCAGCUGUGUCACUAUCAGGUAAUGCUGGAAUGUGUGAGAAAGUAUGGAGUUGGACCAGACAGCAAGGGAUAAAUUUGGGAAGCAAACGUAAAACAGAGAGCAUGAAAAAGGAUUGUAUCAGAAGGCUUAUAACAAAAUUUACUUUUUUCUAAUAUUUGCAUUUGGUGUGUUAACCUCAUUUUAUUUUGUAUGUUAUAUAGGAGGAAGAUAGUAAAAGAACUGAAAUGUCCGCUUGCUCCCAUAAACUAAGGAUAAACUGGAAGAUAAAUCUGUUGUUCUACAGAGUUCCUAAUGAUAUUAAACAUUAUCUUAUUUCUCCUCAUCCUUUUCCCUUAAAGCCAAAAGGAUAUAUACUAAAAUUGGUACAAUUCAGAGAUUAGCAUGGCCCCCACGCAAGGAUUGCUAGAAAUCUGUGAAGUGUUCUGUCAAGCCAGAAAUACAGUUAUAACUUGGAAGCUUUCUCAAGAAAAAUGACUCUUAAGUGAGAGUGUUUGUAAUUUUUGAUAGCAAAAUUAUCCCUCCUGUAGAUUAUUAAUGGGUGCCCAAAUGGUGGUUAGAGUGAGGCUAGGGUGUAAAUGGAACAAACAGCAAGUAGAGAGUGGACAGGUGUGAGAAAGCAUAAGAAACAGACCAUACAAAUGUAAAUGAAUCUGUUCUCCUUUUGGCCUUCACGCAUCUGUCCUUAAGGGUGUGUUUUCCAGGCUCUGUCAGAACUAAAUAAAAAACUGAUUUCUUCAUGUUCA
ensembl:lncRNA